rnacentral:lncRNA from 1 species
UUAACUCUUAACCGUACGUAGCAUGGCCAUGCAUUUUCGGAUCUGAUCACUCGAGGGGCCCAGAGAUAUCACUCUCAAUCAGAGAGGGGCAAAUCCCAUCUUGAUUGACCAUGUCUCACAGCAUGCUUCUUGACAAACCUGAAAGCUACCUUUAUAACUACCCUGUUACGGCGUAGCGUUUGAUAGCCCCUAAGUAGGUCGAUCCACAUCUUGAAU